UCCAAAUUCCCUAAGCCUCGCCCACUCGCCGGAGGUUGGAGUCACCGUAGUUGUCUUCUCAGUUCUCAGGCGACGCCUCGCCAAUUGGCUUCUGGUUCUUAGGCCUCGCCUCGCAGGUCGUCUUCUCUGUUCUCAGCCCUCGCCGGAGCCCAAAGUCGCCUCCUCUUCGUCUGACACUGUGAUUCACGCCCUUAAAUCGCUGCCCUUCUUCGUUGGUCGUUACUCAUCUUCGUCAAAGGGACCAAUGCUGUGAUGUUAAAUUCGUAUGGCUUAACAGAAGAUAAAAAGGAUGAUCAACUGCUUUGGGACCUUCAAAUAUCAAAUCAGUUACUGUAGUUACAGUCAAAGCACCACUCGUAAAGUCAUUAAUUCCUGUGGAUUGAGACAGCACUGUUGCAGUACUGAUACUGCGUAAAGGACUUUUUACAGCAGUUAACCUAAAGUCCUAAAGGUAAAAUUUAUACACA